rnacentral:rRNA from 1 species
UGGGGAAUCUUCCGCAAUGGACGAAAGUCUGACGGAGCAACGCCGCGUGUAUGAUGAAGGUCUUCGGAUUGUAAAGUACUGUCAUUGGGGAAGAACGGUUUUCUUGAAAAGAUUGAGAAGACAUGACGGUACCCAAGGAGGAAGCCCCGGCUAACUACGUGCCAGCAGCCGCGGUAAUACGUAGGGGGCAAGCGUUGUCCGGAAUUAUUGGGCGUAAAGGGCGCGUAGGCGGGCCUUUAAGUCCGGUGUGAAAGAUCAGGGCUCAACCCUGAGAGUGCAUCGGAAACUGGAGGCCUUGAGGACAGGAGAGGAAAGUGGAAUUCCACGUGUAGCGGUGAAAUGCGUAGAUAUGUGGAGGAACACCAGUGGCGAAGGCGACCUUCUGGACUGUAACUGACGCUGAGGCGCGAAAGCGUGGGGAGCAAACAGGAUUAGAUACCCUGGUAGUCCACGCCGUAAACGAUGAGUGCUAGGUGUAGAGGGUAUCGACCCCCUUCUGUGCCGCAGUUAACACAAUAA